rnacentral:rRNA from 1 species
AGAGUUUGAUUCUGGCUCAGGAUGAACGCUAGCUACAGGCUUAACACAUGCAAGUCGAGGGGCAGCAGGACGAUAGCUUGCUAUUGUUGCUGGCGACCGGCGCACGGGUGAGUAACGCGUAUCCAACCUUCCCCUUAGUAGGGCAUAGCCCGGUGAAAAUCGGAUUAAUACCCUAUGUUGUGUCAUGAGGACAUCUGAAUAACACUAAAGAUUUAUCGCUAAGGGAUGGGGAUGCGUCCGAUUAGGUAGUCGGCGGGGUAACGGCCCACCGAGCCCUCGAUCGGUAGGGGUUCUGAGAGGAAGGUCCCCCACACUGGUACUGAGACACGGACCAGACUCCUACGGGAGGCAGCAGUGAGGAAUAUUGGUCAAUGGGCGUAAGCCUGAACCAGCCAAGUAAGCGUGCAGGAUGACGGCCCUAUGGGUUGUAAACUGCUUUUAUACGGGGAUAAAGUGAGGGACGUGUCCCUUAUUGUAGGUACCGUAUGAAUAAGGACCGGCUAAUUCCGUGCCAGCCGCGGC